rnacentral:lncRNA from 1 species
AAAUAAGAAUGAAUAUAAAUAUUGCACAUAUAUUUAUAAUAUUUAUAUAAAAAAGUGUCUAAUCCUCCAUUUAUACUAAUCAAUAGAGGUAUGGUCAUGAUUCGAUUAUAAUUAGAACUAUUUUUUUUUUUUUCUUCUUCUUUUUUAUAUUUUAUCAUUUUUAAAUGUUUUUUAAGAUUUAUUUCAUAAUGCGUUUUACAAUGUACAUGACAAUCACGGUUAUCACUUUCAAAAUUUGAAAAUUUAUAUCUUAUUUUUGCUCCGUUGUUAAUAUUUUUAUUAUAUUCGUUUGCAUGUGUAUAUUUAUUUAAUAAAAGUUUAUAAUUAUCUUUUAUUGAAUCAAUAUUUUUGUUAUAUCUAGAUUUUAUACUUUUUAAAUCUGUAGUAGUCAGUAAACUUUGUAAUUCGUUUGUAUUUUCAAUAAACAAAUCAUUCAUAUGAAAAUAAAUAUUUUUUUUUUUUCCAAUGUUUGUACUAAAAGAAGUAGAUGUUAUUGAACUAGCGCACUGACUGUUAUCAUCAGGACUGUUAGAACUAGAACUACUGCUUUCUGUUUCAAAAGUUUGGUCGUCAUAAACAUGUUUAUUAUAACUGUUUGUAUACCUAUAUAUAUAAAUAUUUUCAUUUUUUAUACUUUUUUUAUUGUUUUGGUAUUUGUGGUAUGCAUCAGUAACAGUGUGAAAAAAAUCGUACUCACUAGGAUCUAAUCUUUGUGUGAUUCUUACACCAACGUUGGUAGUAGAGUCCUGCACGGUAUUAGUAACAUAUGGAGUAUCAAAAAGUGAUAUUUUGUUGUUGCUAUUAGGAGUAGCAUGAUUAUCACAAACACAUUGUGUAUUAUUUGCAAGCUGCAUUUUCUGAUUCAUGUGUCCUAUUUUUUUUUGAGGCUCUUUUUUUUGUUCUUGCUUUUUUUGUUCUUGCUUUUUUUGUUCUUCCUUUUUUUGUCCUUCCUUUUUUUCGUUUUUUUUUUUUUUUCGUACAACCUUUUGUUUAAAAUGCAAUUGCAUUUUUUGCAAGUAUACAGUUUUUUAGUUUUACAUAUAUUACUACAACUGUCACUGUCACUGCUACUUCCAUUACCGUUACUGCCGAUACUAGUUCUAACCUUGUUUGGACAACCACCCUUCCCCGAUUUGUAUAAACCGCUGUUAAUCUUAUUUUUUAAUAAUUUGAUUUUUUGUUUCAUCAAUGGUUCCACUUGAUCGUUUUCUAAAUAUUCAGGAGGGGUAAAGUGGCAUAUAUUACUAUAAAAUGAGUUUAUAUAUAUAUUUAUAUUGUCUAUCAUAUUAAAUAGAUUUUUUUUAAUAUAUACGUCUUGAUUUUUUAUAAUUGUUAAUAAAUGGAUAAAAAAAUUAUAUACUUUUUUAUAA